GACAGAGGUGGCAAGCGUUGUUCGGAUUCAUUGGGUGUAAAGGGCAGGUAGGCUGUUUUGCAAGUCCGGCGUGAAAUCCCAGGGCUCAACCCUGGAACUGCGUUGGAAACUGCAUGACUUGAGUAUCGGAGAGGUGAGGGGAAUUCUCGGUGUAAGGGUGAAAUCUGUAGAUAUCGAGAGGAACACCAGUGGCGAAGGCGACUCACUGGCCGAUUACUGACGCUGAGCUGCGAAAGCAAGGGGAGCAAACAGG
rnacentral:rRNA from 1 species